CAGAAGUGCUGAGUUUUUAGUGGUGGCAGAUCCCUGCUGACAUCCCACCGGGCGUGUUUGAUGGCUUCCCUCUACUCCACACCAGAUGCCUCUGGAUGAUAUGAGCUCAGAAUGCACUUCUCCCACAAGCUCAAAAGAGGCCACAGCGUGAGCAGGUCCCAUCUGCCAAGGGAUUCCACCGCUUGCAUGGAGGCACCAGCAGCCAUUUCUCUAGUUUACGUUGGUGUGAAGCUUUCCAGCAGAAUAAAAGGGAUUGAACUUGGGUUCUUGCGCUUGCAAGGCAGGCAGCGAAACCACUGAGCUAAAUUCCCAGCGGCAUGAUAUUUUUAAAAAUAUGCCAUGAAGUAAACAGGCCUCCUAUGCCACACAUUCUCACUGUGAUGUACUGUGCCAGUACUGUGAUGUACUUGACCGAAAGCAACAGGGCCAAGCAACCAUGGACUGAAGCCUCUGAAACUAGUAUCGUCCUGCUGACAAUCCUUUCCUAGGACUGCCUGUUGCCACCAGGAAAAAGAUGCCACAGGGAUCGAACUCGCUUGCAAGGCAGGUGGCGGCACCACUGAGCUAAAUCCCUAGCCCUGAAUUUUAAUUCUUAUACAAGUCACCAAUAAGAUUCGUCAAACAAACAUGCAAAAGAGGAUGAUUUUUUAAAAACUAAGUAUUAUAGUUUACAUCCCAAGAGCCUCUUGUGCUCAAAGACAUGGACUUCGGAAGAGGAUUAUGAAGGGCACCAUAGGUGACUUGCGGUUAGCAGGUGGGUGUGGCCGGGGCCAGUAGUUCACAGCGGCAGGACCUGACAAGGUGUAUCUCCUCCCAUGCUGCUCCCUUGGGUCUUUCCAUCAUGAAGAGAACACUUUCCUCUGCCCAGGCCUUUCCACCUUGCAGUUUCUGUGUUUAAGCCUGCUGACCAUGGACUGAAACUUCUGAACUGUGAGCCAAAAUGAACCUCUCCUCCUUUAAAUUGUAGGUGUCAGGUAUUUUGUCCCAGAAACCAGGAAAGUGACUAAGACACUAAGUAACAGCUUUGGAAAUAUUUUUGUUUUUUCCCUGCCUCUGUUGAAAAGCAGUAAUCUUUAAGUUAGGGGUAUAAUAUUAGGAAGUAAUGUUAUGGCAUAUUAUAUGUGAGGUCCUGGAUUUG
rnacentral:lncRNA from 1 species